UUUAUUAACAACAUGAAAAUAACAAUUUACAACCAUGAUGGCACUGUAAAAGUAAGUGUGCAGAUCUUUAUAUACAGUCUAUGGUGCAGACACCAGACAGAGCUAAAUAAAAGUUCACUAAAAUAAUGAUUUAAGAAAAACAAGACAAAUACAUAAGACAAAAACGGUUGACAGAGGUAUGUGGGCUACUAGUGGUUUUCAGAAAGACCAAAGUCAGUAGUCAGAUUCUACAGUGUCGUAAAGUUUUUCUUCAUAAAGUUUAGAGAUGAAAGGAAGUGACACAAUUCUUUAUGAAAGUGUGCCCUUCAUAAAACGUACCACCAGAGGAUGAGAGCCAGGGGACUUCCACUCAAAUCCCAAAUGGCAGGCAGAGAUAGCCGACAGAUAGACCCUUGUUGUGGAAAAGUCCUGUUCACAUGAGCAUUUCUACAGAUGCCUCCCCAGCCCCAUUUGGAUGCAUCUGUGGUGACCAGAACGCGCAAGAGGAUCCAGCCUAGACGCUGCAUGAGCAGAGCAUGAAGGCCCAAUGGAGUAACCCAUAACCUCUCGUUUCUUCAAUGAGUGUAGAACAUCUGUUUGGCAUGCAUCCAGCUCUGGAAUUUCCUCAUCAUCAGCAAGCCUGAAGGCACUGCUGGAAUCAUAGCAGCCAUAAAUCUCAGUAGGUGCUGGCCCUGACGGAGACAGACAAUACAAUGAGGCUGAAACAGUGUUAGACGUCGGUUGAAGGCGGCUAUCCUCCGGAAUCAUAACUGGGCCCGAUUUUCUAUAGAAUCCAACUCCAGACCCAGAAAACAAACUUUUGGAGUAAGGCACCUCUUCUUCCAGUUUAUGACAAAUCCCAGAGACUGCCGGUGAGCUAUUACUCUGGAUGUGUGGGUAUCGGCCUGAUGAGCCGAGUUCCAGAACCAACAAAUUGUCCAGGUAGCCAAGGGAUAGUAUGCCCUGACCUCUGAUCGGUGCCAGUGCUGCGUUUAGGCAUUUGGUCAAAACGUGAGGAGUGAGCGAUAAACCUAACUGCAGAACUUGGUAUUCAUACGCCGUGCCUUCAUAAGAAAAGUCUUUCUUUCGGCAGUAUGGCUAGGUGAAAAUAGGUCCUUUAGAUCCACUGUAGUGCACCAAGCUCCUGGUCGAAGUGACUGCAUUACCUGGCAUUAAGUCAGCAUCCUGAACUUGAACUUUCUCAGGUAUUUGAUUAACUUUCUCAGGUCCAAGAUAGGACGGAGACCAUCAUCUUUUUUUUAGUAUGACGAAGUAGCAGCUGUAAAACCCCCAAUGAGCCUCGUGCUUAGGGACAAUCUUAAUAGCUUGUUUCUAUUGAGCGGAUUUCCUCUCUCAAUACUGGGGCAAAGGAUGGUUGCAAACAGUAAGAAGAAGUAGUGGUGUGCUUGAGGACUGGUCCUUAUUAAAGACUCAAGCAACAAAAACACUGGUGCUCCUGAAGAACAAGGGUUUGAGAUAAUCACAUGGAUGAAGACAAACUUCAGGCACUCUUGCAUGGAGCAGGAACAAGGAUGGUUGCACUUUUGAUACCACAAUGCCCUUGAGUAACGGAGGACGCUUCCUGAAUUGGAGCCUGUAGGGAAGGACUACAGUUCCCAUGAUCCAUUGUGAUGCUGCACAUGCCUGCCAAGAGGCCUCUCUUGCAACCAGCAUUGUCAUUUGUGAUACAACUAUGCCCUCUGCUGGUGGGCUGGAGCCAUGACCACAACGUGUCUUGAGAGAUUGUGUUUAUGUGUGGGUGCUUAUUUCCGCAAUUUGAAGCUUGAGAGUGGGGAAAACACAGCCUUUUAUUGACACACAGAUAUUCUGAACAUUGUGAACACAGGAACAUGCCACUAUUACUUUCAAAUCUGCACAAGGACAAGAAUUUGCGGCACAUGUGGCAGGUGACAACAAUCUCUGACCUGGUGAGGGGAGUGUGAGUGUGAGGGCUUGAAUUAACAUGCUCGGGUUCAACUGUAUGCUUAACCGAGGUUUCUUUAAAGGGACAGUUCACCCCCAAAUCAAAAAUACAUAAUUUUGCUCUUACCUGUAGUGCUGUUUAUCCAUGUAAAUUGUUUUGGUGUGAGUUGCUGAGUUUUGGAGAUAUUGGCUGUAGAGUUGUCUGCCUUUUUGGAAUAUAAUGGAACUAGAUGGCACUUGGCUUGUGGUGCUCAAAGCGCCAAAAAAAUACAUUUUUAAGCCUGGGCAUACUCAUCCGCAGUGCCUUCUCUUGCUUAUUCCUCUGAUCGCAGCAGGUCUAAAUUCAAGGGUUCAACUGCUUGGUGGAUAAAAUCAGCGCUACAUCUCAGGCAGCUCAGUGAGCAUUAGCCACAGAUACUGCUCAGCCAUGCCUUUUCCCAAGGCUAUGCCCACUGUGCUGGAGAGCUGGAGAAUGAAAUCGGCCGUUCUGCAUACCUCAUCUCCUUCUUCGACAGGGCCUCAUGUAGAUCCCGCAACUUCUCUGCCGGGUAAGCUUGCAGCAUCAAGGCCGUAUUCAGCGCACAAGAGGUCAGCACCUGCGGAAUCUGCAAUGCUUGUCGGGGAGAGUGGGUUUGCUGCUUGCCAAGUUGGGUUUUGGCACCAGGUGGAUAGCCAGCGUCUCGUUCAUCGGAGGGAUGUUGGUUAGCCCACCAGACUCCAUACCUUCCAAGUCCAAGAACUGGGUAAAUGGCAGUGAGAGCGGAGCCUUAGCAGACACCCAGGACCAUGAGAACUCCAGGACAAGGGCAGGGAAAACUGGCAAUUUGUGUCUCACCUUUGCUAGCUGCUGCCACACAUCUCUCCAGGGUGGGCUUUCGGAGUCGGCAACAGUGCACAGGUCUCCAAGCUAGCAAGUGCAACUUUCAUACAACAUACCAAGACACUGAGCAAGCAUUGUGUGUGUUAGAAUAAAAUGUACAUAAGUUAUCCCAUUUAUGUUUUGUUCUUAGUGACCUUUAAAGUUCACAGCAAUGCUGUGUAUGUAUGUGUGUUAUUAAACUUGUGUCUGUGAGAAUAACAGGAAUGCAACCUGCUAUCCCAUGACCGGCAGGGCAGGCUGACACCGUACCAGAUGAUCUCGAGAGUAGUGGCUGCUCCAAGGCCGCUCUCGCAAGAUAAACCUGAUAACACCGCUUUGUUCUUUCUUAAGUAGCAGUAUACACUUCCCCCACUCCUUAGAAAAUUAUGUAACAGGGAAUCUCCUAAACUGAAUAAAAAAGAGGAGGAUGCAUAGAUGCACUUCAGAGUGAGUAGGAGAUGUAACUGAAUGCAUCUAUGCUUACUCUCCUCGAGUAAAACUUAAGUUA